ensembl:lncRNA
AUGUUGGGAUCCAUUGAUACAAGUAGAUCCAAUAUAUCAGCAAUGGUUUCCCAGUAUUUUAAUAAAAGUAAGGCUUCUGAUGAGUUGGGUGGGUUUGUGCACACGUGUGUGUGUGUGUGUGUGUGUGUGUGCAUACAGGCACACACACUAUCCGUGUCUAGUACUCUGCUCAUAAUUCUACUCCCUGAAGACAAUUUUCUAAAAGUUGCCUGUAUAUGUCUUCCUUCUUUUUUCUGAAACACAGAAGGAAAGGUGGAUAAAGCUGUGUGUGUAUGUAUGUAUGCAUGUAUGUGUGUGCACACAGACAUACACACACACAUUCUCUAACUAUCCUCAUAAUCUAUCCUAUAACUAUCCUAUAAUCAUAUCUUCUUUAAAAUCAUGGUUUUUCUAAAAGCAAUGGGAAACAAAUAUCUUUCAUACUAUCUGAAAAUCUGUUUCAUUUGUGAGAAAUUAGGGAUUCUAUUCUCCUUUCUUUGUAUAGCUUUUAUCAGCCUUGAAGUAUUUGUUAUAUUUAAGGAAUUAGGAAAUUACUCUUUUAGUCUCUGUUCUCUUCACUGUGUAAGAACAGUGUUAUUGAUAUCCACUGCAUUCUAGAUUUGCUCUCUACUAUUACAAAAACAAGUUCCGCUAUCUAUCUAUCUAUCUAUCUAUCUAUCUAUCUAUCUAUCUAUCUAUCUAUCUAUCAAUCUAUCUAUCUAUCUAUCAAUCAUCUAUUUACUGUAAUAGCUGUCAGAAUGAACCUCAUUCCAAAUAUCAACUGUUCUAUCUAGACUCAGGGUAAGCAUUUCCAUCAUCUGAGAACAUUUAGUGGCACAAUAAUAUUUAACAAAGACUAUUUAACAUUAGCAGUAUCCGUUUUAUUGUUAGGAUGCUCUAACAAAAUAAACAAAAUUUUCACAGUCUCCUUCAUUUAGCCAGUUAGUGAAAUAAUCCCAAUAAAUUGAACAUUAUGGCCACAAUAAUUCUGAAGCAAAAAUCAAGUCUUGGCCACUCUGUGAAGUAUUGUAUUAAUGAAUGACCCAUUGAACCAGGAUCAGUUAAUUGUUUAGCUGUCACGAAAACUUUGCUUUGCUUUCUCUUCUGCAAAACAGAAGUUAUAGGCAAAUUCUGUUUUGGGCAUUUGGAAGCUGAAUAUAAUUUCAUGAAAUAUGGAGAAAUUGACUAAAAUAGUGUGAAAGUGAUGAGGAAUUUCUUUAGAGAUGAAAAAGUAAGGUAACUAUCAAGUCUGUUUGCAUUUUAGAACUAUAACAGAUACUUGAACUGGAAUUAAGUGUUUUAUAAGAUAUAAUGUUCUUAAGAGUUCCUGGAAACUAUUUAGAACAGCUUGUGUCAGUAGGUAUAGUUGGCUAUAGUUAGCUAGCCUCCAGGAAUGGCCAGUGAAGUUUAUCAAAUAACCAUUAACAUUGUGUUGGGGUUUAGAAUCUUGCAUUUGAGACACUAAAUAAUUAUUUGGCUUUCAAUAUGACCUAAGGAAUGUGGUUAUGUUUCCCAGAAGUACCUUUUUCUGAGUGGCAAAAUUUAUGUUUUCCCAAGAUGCAUCAUUUCAUCUGUUUUUUUAAAAAAAGAUAUGGAGAGCUGUGGGCUCUGGGAUCCACGAUGCACCGAUUUAAACAUUUGCCGAAUAGCAGGCAGUUAGCAUAGGCCUAAAAUGCCCAGAGAAAAUGAUGCUUAAUCAAGUGGAAAAUGUUUACCUCCACACAAUUAGCAGGGAGAUAAGUUAUACUUUCAGUUCCUCAGAGAAAAUGAACAGCGUAACGAAAGGCAUGUUGCACAUAAGAGUACAUUAAAGUCCUUAAGAAAAGAACAAUGCAAAAUUCUCUAUUCUAACCAAAGAAAGAAAAUGCAAGUAUAGAAAAGAAAAAAGUGCAAUUUUUUAAAAAAAGGAAUAUAGUAUAAGCAAGAAGGAUAUUGGUGUGACUUGUCUAAACUCCAAUAGCAAUUGGAACACCAAAAAAUACUAAGAAAAAUAUUAUUCUUUCAAUAUGCCAAACUUGUUUCUGUUUAGGUAUUAUAUUGCAAUAUAUGUUUUCCAUUCCACUGAUUUAAAGAUAUUGGUAUUGGGAAUCUUCAGAGUGAUAUCUUUAGCUGGAAGCAGGAGGAAGGAUCAAUAUUAAAGUUAUUUGGUGGCUAAUAGUUUUGAUGACUAUUUAUCACCAACAGUAUUUGGGGCACUAUACAUUUUAAUGCCAGUGCGAGGGCCAGCAAUGGAGGGCUGUUAUUGUCUGCAUGGGAACAUUCCGUUGGUAAUGCUGGGGCAGAGUAACAGGGAAGAGAAGGGAAGGUCUUUUGUCUCAAACACCACAAAUCCUCUUGUGUUGGCUCUUCAUAAAAGGUGUGAUCAAAUAUAUUUUACUCCUUGAUAUUAAUAUCUGGCGUUGGGCUGUUCUAAUGUUGGGAGCAGAAGAUCAAAGUGCAAAACCUGCCUCAUAACAAAUCAUCAUCAUAAUUGUCACCACCUCAUCAGAUGGCCAGCAGCAGAAGGAGGUGGCUGUCCACUUCACUGUGAAGCGUGGGGAAUCCAGCACACCAUGCCUCACAUCGCCCUCCUUGCCAGGAGGGCAAUCACAUGGGGGGAAGCAUGGUGUGUGCGACUUCCCCCCCUAGAUUAGGCAACACAUGAAGCCUCCCAUGUUGCCAGGGCAGUGGUGACAUGCUGGUUCCGCCUCCUGCACCCACGGAGUGGGCACAAAGUUGUUUGAUGGGUGCUGGCCGGCUCUGUGGGUGACUGGAGCUAGCUGCCGAAUGUAGCCCCGUUUAAUGAAGUCGUAAUAGGAAAUAGGGCAAUGUGAGGCCUGAUUGCUUUUAUCCAAAUAUGUACAUGUAUGUUUUAAAACUACUAUUUUUAAAUUGUUGAAUUGUUUAGCAUGAUUAUAUCCUUACAUUCCUUUUGACUGGAUUGUUACAUUUUAGAAAAUUAUAUUAAAUCUUGAUUCUUUUCCAAGAUGCCUGCAUAUUCCAAGGCAAGACACAAAUAUUUUAGUAAACAUAUACAAAUAAAAGUGUCAAAUUCAUAUUUUUCACAUUUUUAAAACUUCAGUUUCUUUCCACUUCUGAAUUAUGAAACAGUAUGUUUUCUGUACAUUUAUUAGAAAACAAAAUGAAUCGAAUUUUCACUGAAGCCUAACUAUAGGAGUUGAAUACUAUUUGAUUUAAUUAAUAUUUUAUUUAUUUUUUCAUUUAUAUGCCAUCUUUUUCCUGGAGUUGGGGGUUGACAAAAAUCAAUUAAAAUUUAACAAUAAAAACAUAAAAACAAUUUAAAACCAUCACAUUAAAACAGUAUAAAAUCAUUUAAAGGGCAUACAAAAUUUAACAAAUAAAACACUCCAAUAAUAAAACUCCCAAAGAGCAAUUAUAUAGUAAAAGACUGCUUAAUCAGAAUGGUAUUUGCCUGCUGGCAAAAGGAGAGCAAGCAGGGGGUCAGCCCAGCUUUCCUGCAGAAGGGAAUUCCAAAGCAUAAACAUAGAAAUUUGCAUGUAGAAAAACUUUUUCCUCAUGUACCUUUUGUUCAAAACCUAU